rnacentral:lncRNA from 1 species
GGGACAUUAAGAAGCAAACAAAACUUCAAUUAUUUUUUCAAAUCCCUACACUCCUCAGAUGGAAAGCAAAAAUCCUAACACAAUAACUGAAUCUCUAGUGGGCACGCAGUCCCAUCAAUAUCAUGCACCUCAUCUGAUAGUAGUAACAUGCACACCGAUGUGUAGACAACUCAUUGUCCAGAUGCUUCUCUAAGCAUAUUGCAGCUACAUGAUCUCUAAGUCAUGUAGGCUCAUCUGACAGAUAUUGAUCACACUCCUUAGUUAAGCCCAA